rnacentral:rRNA from 1 species
UACGUAGGGUGCGAGCGUUAAUCGGAAUUACUGGGCGUAAAGGGUGCGCAGGCGGUUCUGCAAGUCAGGCGUGAAAUCCCCGGGCUUAACCUGGGAAUGGCGCUUGAAACUACGGGACUGGAGUAUGGCAGAGGGAGGUGGAAUUCCACGUGUAGCGGUGAAAUGCGUGGAGAUGUGGAGGAACACCGAUGGCGAAGGCAGCCUCCUGGGCCAAUACUGACGCUCAUGCACGAAAGCGUGGGGAGCAAACAGG